UUAUAAGUUUAUAUUAAGGAUGGGGUUAUAUUCACUCUAAUUACUACUCGAAACACUUGUUUACUCUCUACACUCGUAUUUAAAAUUUACAAAUCAAAAUUUUACUCUUACCACCAUUUAUAAUUCUAAAUAUAAUACCGUUUCUAAUUUGCACAGUUUGAAAAGGACCGUUAUCUGUUUUUCUCACUCGGGUGGUUUGGAGAAGAGCUGUCAAAUUUCACACUUGAAAUAAUUUAUGGGCAGUUAGCUCUAGUAAUUAAUAAUCUACUCAACUCAUUUUGUUAUUGCAUCUCAACCGAAAUUUUCAUCUGUGCUAAGCAUUGAAGCCAUCCUAUUGUCGUGAUUUUUCUUAGUAUCGCUCCUAAGCAUUCUCAUUGGAAACACUUUCAAACUCACAAAUUCCUCAUCAACUUUGCUAAUAUCCAAACUUUUUUUUUAAAAAUAAACAUACCCUUUCGUGGAUUUAUUAAAACUUAGUAUUGAGUGUUAAUGGUUUGUAGAAGAAAAUGUUGGUAAGGAAAAUGAGGGUAAAAUUGUCUCAUCGUAUCCUUGUAUUUCUCUCCUAAUAUUUAAGCAGUGAAUCUAAUAAGUCUAUAUCAAUAAUUUAAUUUAAGAAUAUUUACAUGAUGAAAAUUUUAACUAAAUUUGAGAAUGCAUAGACGCUCGUCCCGAUUACUGUUUAUUAAAAGCUCCAUGUCCAAAAAAUUUUGACUCCCACGAUAAUUAUUUUAAUAUUUCAACUUGCAUCUCCGCCUUCGGCUUCGAGAAUAGAAUACAAUUAUUGAUCUCCAUGAUUAGUUUAAACUUAUACCUAGUUAAUAUUUCAAUACGGCUUUAGCCCCCACAAAUCUUUCACCGGCACGUAAUCAAAUCAAUGAUUAAGGCUUACGUUGUGGCCACCCAACAAACACGUAUUAUUCUUUUUAAUGUUAAAAACUCAUAUUACGUUGCUUACCCGAAUCUCGGCUAGCUUUCUUGAUUGAUGCGAAAAAUAUUGAUUAUUGUGCCACGUAACGCAUGUCUAACAAGUAAAGCCAUUGUUUAUAAGUAACCUCUUGUCCCAUGAUUAAGAUUGAAGGAGUAAAACUUAUCAAAAAUUAUAAUCUAAAUCAAAUCAGGACCCAUCACGGCCGACCAAAUGCCCAUCACGGCACCACCCUUUUGUGGACCGAUUCUCAUGUGAUAAUAAAAAAUAAUUUUAAAAAACAUAUAAGAUUCACGUACCAAAAUCCGAUGCCAUUAACGUGUCACUUUCUUAAAGAUUUUUUUAUUGUUUUCGCAAAUUUGCAAGCCUUCAUUCAUCAGUUUAUUUCAACGGAUAAGCAUUGAGAUAUGAGUAGUCAAAAUAGAUAUUUUUAACGAAUAGUCAAAAAAAUUAUGAUUAGAAACAGACAGUGUUGAUUCAAUCGAUCUUCCCACGUCAUCAAGUAACUGUAGCCUUUAAAAUUAGAUCUCCACUUGUCAGCCAGUCGGGACACGUGUCAAACGGCAACAACUUCGGAGGUGGUCAUUACCACGCGUCCGGUCACUAUUCGUUUUGCAAUAAAGAAGAAUAGCUGUCAAUCACAUCAUUCAUGCCAAUGUAAAGCCACGGGCAUUACCUUAAAUCCUGGGCCGUUCAAUUUCCGUCGCAGAAUCGUCUAUUAUUUCGCUUCUGAUUCUGGAAGUAGAUGUUAUGUCAGCAACGAGCCACCGACCUCUGCGCCCCGCCGCCUACAUUUGGAGAAGUUAUUCUUCACGCACACUCACAAUAACUACACAGGUCUUCUCCAUUUUCAGCUGUUGAUUCUAUUUUUCCCACUUUCUAACGGCUAAGAUCCUGUGGUGUUUAUAUUUAUAUUUAUUCUUUUUUGUUGUCAUUCUAGAAAAUCUAAUUUUGUUGGCAUUUAAUAAUUAAUUCCUU
rnacentral:lncRNA from 1 species